rnacentral:rRNA from 1 species
AGGUGUGGGAGGUGUCGACUCCUCCCGUGCCGUCGCUAACGCAUUAAGUUCCCCGCCUGGGGAGUACGGCCGCAAGGCUAAAACUCAAAGGAAUUGACGGGGGCCCGCACAAGCAGCGGAGCAUGUGGUUUAAUUCGAUGCAACGCGAAGAACCUUACCUGGGUUUGAAAUGUUGGUGACCGGUGUGGAAACACACCUUUCCUUCGGGACACCAUCACAGGUGGUGCAUGGCUGUCGU